rnacentral:rRNA from 1 species
UGAAAUCUCGGGGCUCAACCUCGAAACUGCGUCUGAAACUGCAGGUCUAGAAUCUUGGAGGGGGAAGGGGAAUUUCGCAUGUAGGGGUAAAAUCCGUAGAUAUGCGAAGGAACACCAGGGGCGAAGGCGCCUUCCUGGACAAGUAUUGACGCUGAGGCGCGAAAGCGUGGGGAUCAAACAGGAUUAGAUACCCUGGUAGUCCACGCUGUAAACGAUGAAUACUAGGUAUUGGAGGAUUUGACCCCUCCAGUGCCGUAGCUAACGCGUUAAG